AUUGAACGCUGGCCGCAUGCUUUACACAUGCAAGUCGAACGGCAGCACGAAAGAGCUUGCUCUUUUGGUGGCGAGUGGCGAACGGGUGAGUAAUGCAUCGGAACGUACCGAGUAAUGGGGGAUAACUGUCCGAAAGGAUAGCUAAUACCGCAUACGCUUUGAGAAGGAAAGUGGGGGCUCUUCGGACCUCACGUUAUUCGAGCGGCCGAUGUCUGAUUAGCUAGUUGGUGGGGUAAAGGCCUACCAAGGCGACGAUCAGUAGCGGGUCUGAGAGGAUGAUCCGCCACACUGGGACUGAGACACGGCCCAGACUCCUACGGGAGGCAGCAGUGGGGAAUUUUGGACAAUGGGCGCAAGCCUGAUCCAGCCAUGCCGCGUGUCUGAAGAAGGCCUUCGGGUUGUAAAGGACUUUUGUUAGGGAAGAAAAGGAUAGUGUUAAUACCAUUAUCUGCUGACGGUACCUAAAGAAUAAGCACCGGCUAACUACGUG
rnacentral:rRNA from 1 species